AAGGGUGCGUAACACGUGGGCAAUCUGCCGAGAAGUGGGGGAUAGCUCGCCGAAAGGCGAAUUAAUACCGCAUGUGGUUAGGGAAGACAUCUUUCCGACACCAAAGCCGGGGCAACCUGGCGCUUCUUGAUGAGCCCGCGGCCUAUCAGCUAGUUGGUGAGGUAACGGCUCACCAAGGCUAUGACGGGUAGCUGGUCUGAGAGGACGACCAGCCACACUGGAACUGAGACACGGUCCAGACACCUACGGGUGGCAGCAGUCGAGAAUUUUUCUCAAUGGGGGAAACCCUGAAGGAGCGACGCCGCGUGGAGGAUGAAGGUCUUCGGAUUGUAAACUCCUGUCAUUAGGGAACAAUGUGCGGUUAUUAACUGUAAUCGUAUUGAUAGUACCUGAAGAGGAAGAGACGGCUAACUCUGUGCCAGCAGCCGCGGUAAUACAGAGGUCUCAAGCGUUGUUCGGAUUCAUUGGGCGUAAAGGGUGCGUAGGUGGCGCCAUAAGUCAGGUGUGAAAUCUCGGGGCUCAACCCCGAAACUGCACUUGAUACUGUGGUGCUCGAGUACUGGAGAGGAGAUUGGAAUU
rnacentral:rRNA from 1 species